rnacentral:rRNA from 1 species
AUGACUCCAAUGGGAGCACUCAAGCCGAGCUCUAUACAGCUAGUUGCAGAUUUAAUUGAUGCAGUAUCAAAUCAAUGGGAUGUGGAGACCAUCCGAAGUGUGUUUUUCCACCGGAUGCAUUCCCCCGGAUGCAGACGCAAUUUUGGCCAUGCCAAGAGCGCGGCUUACCGGCAGACGAUGCAAACCAAAUUACAGCUGACGGCGACGGAGGGCUCAUCUACUGGAGAUGAAGGAACAUGGCGUGCACUAUGGAAGCUCAAUGAGGCGGCCGAGCGUUUCUUUGAUAUAAAUAUCCCAAGGCUUAAUCCAUGGACAUGGUCUCGCGAUCUGCUAGAUUAUAGGUUGUUCAAGCAAGAUGAGGCUGCUAUCAUGAUUACUGUGAUGUGGGCGGUGUGGCACUCCAGGAAUAGCUACACACAUGGGGAGCAGGAGUAUCAGCUAUCUCACUCCAUGAUCAUCAUCGAAGAGAUCCCAUCCGAUGAAGGGUGGGUGAAGAUUAAUACAAAUGGAGCUACACACUUGGUUCAUGGACGAGGAGGAGCGGGUUUUGUUGCCCAUGAUCACCACAGAUCCUUCCUGAGAGCGGGAGGCUCAAGGUUUGAGGGGGUUACUGAUCCUUUGACUCUAGAACUACUUGCAUGUAGAGAUGCGCUAACCAUGGUGCAAGAGAUGGGUCUUCGGCAAGUUGAUGUUGAAACAGACUGCCAGGAAAUCAUACGGCUCUGGGAGGCUCCAUAG